GAUGGAUGGAUGGAUGGAUGGACAACAAGAGGACGUUUGAAAAGGUUUGAACGAUACUUUGGCAGAGAAAUUUUACACUGUUACUGAGGAACUUCGUGCCAUACUGUUCAGUAGAGAAGUCGCUCUAGCCAGAGAUGGUUGUGUUUGCCCAAUCGUGUAGUACCUGGACGUAAAAGGUAGCCAAAUUCAGCUUGUGUACACUUAUGGUUAUAGUACAGGAUAAUGGAAACAUGGAUAAAACGUGGCAUCGAGGAUUGUGCUGGCGUUUAAGUGCUAUACGAAUGCUGCUCUUCCAUCCACGUUCUUCAAAGCUAAAGAUGGACGGAGACCCGGCUGGACAUGGAGACCUAAAAGAAAGUGGAAUGGAGGUCCAAAACCCUGCUUCUUUCUCCUGCUUCACUUCAUGCCCCUCAUGUUUGUUUCAUUUUCAUUCUUACUUAAUGCAAAAAAAAUAAAAAUAUUAAACGAAUAUUUCUACCUCACAUUUUUUAAAUCCAUGAAAGGAGCAG
ensembl:lncRNA